UACGUAGGGUGCGAGCGUUAAUCGGAAUUACUGGGCGUAAAGCGCGUGUAGGCGGCCCUGCAAGUCGGGUGUGAAAUCCCACGGCUCAACCGUGCAAGUGCACUCGAAACUGCAGGGCUAGAGUCCUGGAGAGGAAGGUGGAAUGCUUGGUGUAGAGGUGAAAUUCGUAGAUAUCAAGCGGAACACCGGUGGCGAAGGCGGCCUUCUGGACAGUGACUGACGCUGAGACGCGAAAGCGUGGGGAGCAAACAGG
rnacentral:rRNA from 1 species